ensembl:lincRNA
UUUGUGCUUUGUCAAAAAACGGUCUGAAACGUUGUCUGGCCCAAACGCCAGGGAGGAGCAACAAGCAAUAGGAGGAGGAUCUCAGUAAUCGGAGGAGCUACAGGUAAUAGGAGGAGCUGCAUUGGUGGAGGAACUCAGUAAUGGGAGGAGCUACAAGUGAUUGGAGGAGUCAAAACAGCUUGUUUCAUGGAACAAAAAGAAGAGAAGAGAAGGAAGCAAGAACAAAAAGAGGAGCUUUGGUACAAGAAGAUGCAACAUGCAGGUCGAUCCAGAGGAUGUGAAGGUCUAACUGCACUUGCAGCAUUGGUGGCUGAAUGGGCUGUUCAGGAUUCGGAGGAGGCAGCGAGGGUGGCCAGAUGUCAGACGAGGCUCCAUGAACAGGAUGGCUGCACAGGUACCCAAUUACAGGGCACCUGGACAUGUCAACCUCGACCUUCACCAUUCGUUUCUGCAGUCACUGCCACGACAUCUUGUGGACAAGACUCCAGAUCAAAGGCAGUGCAGAGUGGUCCAGAAGUUGACGACGACCAUGAUGGGUUUUCUCAGCGUGCUUUGAACAGAGAAGAAAAGGAAGUGAAAAAUUCAGAGUUCAUGAUCAAUAUCAGGAAAGUGCCAGGAAGUGUAAGUACAAAUGAGAAAUUUGCAGGUGCAAAUGAGCAAAUCAAGAUAAAUGAGUGGAGGAGCGAAGGGUUCGUAAAGCGGAAUAAAGUGAAGGAGAUUGCUUCGACACUGGAGGAAUUUGUAAUCAGAGAAAAGCAGGAUAGAUUGAGAAAAUGUCCGACAAACAAAGGAAAAGAAAAUCAUGCAGGGAAGGGAAAAAUGGACACGAGUCCGAAAGAUUGCUGGAAAACAAACAAGGUGGAAAUAUAAACAUAAACAACGUGAUUUCGACAAAGAUGUGUGGUACAUUUAAAAAUGGCACUUUGAGAUGCAACGGUGGAUCCGACGGCAAUCGGGUGAUCGGCAGUAACUCAGCAAGCGAGGGAUGGAAGAAUCAUCCGAUGGAGCGGAAUGAGUCACGGAAGAGGUUGGAACCGGAGGGAUUGGAGGGAGUGCCAAAUGGAAGGCCGGAGGCUGAGUGGCCGUCCAGGUGGAUUGAAGGAAAUGAUGAUGGUGGACGAGGAAGAGUGGAGAGAUAUGAGAGUAAUCAUGGAAAAGCUGACCCCGACCUGAAGCCGGCUUUACAAAAGGACAAAAAUGUGAAUAAACACCUUGAUAAGGAAGCAGGAUCUGAUGUCGUUCAAAAGAAAUGGAAUUUAUGGGAAAACACUCAAGGCGCAGUGGUGGCAAAGACUUUUGUGAAGGUUCCUACAGCCAUGACUGGACAAAUGUACACUUUCGUGAUGGUGGGGCCUCAAGCUUAUAAGAGAGUUCCUGUUCCAUCCUCAGAACCAGCACCACCAAGCUCUGCAGCCAUUGCCACACAGAAGUACCAAAGCAACGACACCGUGGAAACUCCAAUUUUGAGUCCUUCUGUCGAGCAUGUGCCAUUUUGACCUGGAAGUGCAACCUUCAUCGGUACUCCUGCAUCACACCUGAGCUGUUAUUGCAAAGCCCUUACCAAUGUCAUCACAGUUUAAUCGUCACACUCAACUCUCUCACUCUCACUUUUCAUCUUCCCUUGUCGAUCUGACUGAUGCAGAUUAACUGUGGCUUUUCAUGGCAAUCCAUUUUGUUUUCUGUUUUUUGAAGAAUAAACCUUUAAAUGUCUUCUUCACCAGAACGGCUGCACAGAUCGAGGGGAAACUUCACACACAUUCCACAAGCCUUGGGGAUACCAGGAUGUUCACUAAUAAAUCAUAGCUCACAUGGUCUGACAGCAUGGGUCACAUGGUCUGGCAACCAUGAUUUUUUUUGAAGAAUAAACCUUUAGAAAUCUUCUUUAGAACAUCUGGACAGAUCGAGGGGAAACGUCACACAAAUGUUUCGCAA